AAAAAAAAAAAAAGCAGACUGUGUUCCUAGUCUGCAAUCUCCAUUUGUGGAAAGUGCUUUCUAGCCAGAUGUACUAUGCAUUGUAAAAUGACCUUGAACCAAUGUUUUAGUACUAACUGGUUAAUUAUUGUGCAUAUACAUAACUUAAGUUGAAUAAUUUGGAAAGAAAAAAAGGUGUUUUGGCUUAACACAUUUGACACACAAACCCAUUUGAAAUAUUUAUUUGUUUGAUAUCUGAUUUUAAAGCCUAACUCUGACAACAGAUAACAGGUACAGUAUUGCAUUUUUACCAAAAAAAGAAAAAAGAAACCACCAGCAUCAGUAUACAUUAAAAAGGCAUUUGACUAAAUGACAACAGACCUGUGUUCCAGUUUCACACCAUGGACAGAUGCUCAAGGCAGAACAUAACACAAAAUAUUGUACCAGUUCAUAACGUACAGUAUGCGUUUGUGUUUUUGGGUACAUGAAUACAUACAAGAGCUGAAAAGAAAAUAACCCAACAACAGAAACCUGGCUUUCACAAUUUUUCAGCUAUAAAAUCUUUAUGGUGGUGUGGUGGAAGAAGGGGAUAUGAAACUAACUAAAAGAAUGUGAGAAUUAGAAUCACAAAUUGUGACAUUAUAUUAGCACAAUUCUUACAUCACAGUUUUGAUAAAAACUCAGUUCCCUUCUCGUUCAUGUUCUGCUAAUGCAUCGGAGCAAAUGACAAAAAUGAUUAACAGCAGCAAAACUCGCUAAACCCGUUUACGGUAUCUGACAGAUCAAAUAAACAUCUAGACACUGGGGGAAAUGCCUGUUACACAGAAGUAGUGGUUAAUACAGACCUGUAUGUAUGCGGAAGACGAGAUAAAGGGGGAUUAGUGUCUUACCUUGUCUUUCUAGUAAAGACCACAACUAAGUGGCAGUAUUGAAGUGCUGAAUUAAAUUUAACCACAAAUAUGAAUGAAAUGAUGAGAAAUGAGAAAUAGAACCCUGUCAUCCAUAACGGGAGAAAGAUGGAAUAUUAAAGAAAAUAUUUGGCAAAAAUAAUAAAAGAAAAUAAAAUCAAACGUAUAAAUAUGAAUUACAUUCAAGCACAGAGCCUGGUACCGAUCAGUCGACAUUUCUCUCCGGUCUCGCUCACGAACACACUCGCACAUGCAAACGUCUGCAAUUAACUACACAACAAACGACUUGUAAACUCAAAAAUGCACAUAGACCAAACUCCGACCGAGGGCUCUCGUUAUCGUCCCGCCACUAACAUCCCAUUGCAUUUGGUAUCAAAAUCAAGUUAUUAAAAGUGCAAAAACAAACUGAAAACACACCGAGCCUCUUCAACAUUCACACACACUCGCUCUCACAAACCGUUUGUGUGCCUGUGUGCACAUUUCAAAGCUACAUUACUAAUAAAAAAGAAAACAAACCCAAGAAAUUAUUCAUACUAUUAUUGCUAUCUCUCUAGAUUCAAAUGGACACUGCAGUGUUUGCUAGUAAUUAGUCAUAAAAAAUAUAAUAUUAAGUGUACAUAUCGUAAAGAAUACACAUUGACAAUUAUUAAUAAGACCUGACAGUGAUAUAGGAAGAUGUGAUUAAAGAUACAUGUGCACGUGUUAAACACUGAUGUUUCAUUCUGAUACCAACCACACACACAAGAAUAUGAAGAGUCAAACAGCCUUACAUAAACAUGUUACAAGGGAUAGUUCACUCAAAAACUUAAACAGUGUCAUCAUUUACACACCCAAAGUCUAAAUAAAUGCAAAUCAGAAUUCAUAAUGGAGGUUAAAUUCUAUAAUGGAGGGAACUUUUUCACAAACAGUUCCACAAUAUUUCAGUCCAUUUUUUGAGCAUAAUGACUAAUUUUAUGGUUCUAUUUUGUCUUUUUUGAACCUUGACAGUUUAAAUUACCAUCUGCUUACAUUCUGUGAAAAGGAGCAGCAUGAACAUUCUAUUAAAUAUCUUCUUUUGUGUUCUUUAGAAGAAAGUCAUUCAUGUUUGGAACAACACGAUGAGUAAACUUUUACUUUUAGGUGAACUAUCCCUUUUAUAUGGAAGCUUGUUUCUUCCACAGAAUAAAAAAAAAAAAAAUCAGCAUAAUUGUGACUUUUCCUCCCUCAGAACUGCGAGUUUAUAUCUUGCAAUUAUAAUUUUACAUCUUGCAUUUCUGAGUUUAUAUCUUGCACUUUUUAUCUCAACAUUUUUUCUCACAAUUCUGAGGAAAAAAGUUGCAAUUACCUUUAUUAUUUUUUAUUCUGUGGCAGAAACAAGCUUCCAUACUUUCAUAUAAAAAUCAGCCUACAACAAAACAGAAAUAUUGAGACCUGCUCCCAAUUAUUUUUGCUCAUAUAUGUGUGUUUUGUGGAUGACGGGUGAAGCUGGAAACAUAACUGCUGUGGAAACAUAAGUGCAAAAAAAUCAGUACUGAAAUCAAAUCAGUAUUCAGUACGGGGCCCAAGGGCUACAGCAAACAGAGAUAUCGAUCAAGACCGAACACACACACACACACACACACACACACACACACACACACACACACACACACACACACACACACACACACACACACACACACACUCUCAUGCACACAGACUUGAUUUCUUGCCUGUUCUAAGUGGAAAAUACUGGUUCAGAAACAUAAAAAUAACACUAUAAAUCACACCUGCAGAUGUACCAAGCAUAUUUACGCACACAUGAGAAUUCACCUGUGGAUGUGCAUUAUAUUCUAGUUCCACAACACUCACACACACACACACACACACACACAGACUGUAGUGGGGCCCCUCUCACAGGGUUCAAAGGUCAGUGUUCCCAACAGUGAAGAUGUCUUCAUUAGGGAAGACAGAGAUCAACUAGAGUACCGCUUAUGCUCAAACCAAAAACACCCACGUAACUAUACGGCAGACCGAUGGAAACGGCAAAUGCCAGAGGGAGAGGAAACGUGUUUGAAAACAGGAAGCCACGGCCUUUAACAUUUGAUGGGUGGAGUAACAGCUGUCAUGGGGAUGGAGGCGAGCGGCGGGUGAAACGCUGUUACAUUGGGCAGUUACUACUGGAGUCACCCCUGCAGAAUGAGACAGAGCUAUAUUUAGACACUUAACUACAAGUCCAGUAGUUUCAGUGGAAAAACACUCACUUCUGCUCCUUGGGUGACUGAGUACCAGUGAUGCUUCCUGUUGCCAUGCCACCUGUUGCUCUGACAUUAGUGUCACUGAAAGACAGUGGAAGGAACAUCACUGUGUAUAUAAUGCUUUCUGAGAUGUCUUGAGUCAAUAUGCAAAUUUUUUAACAAACAAUGUAAUAAUGCUUAGAUGUAAUGCAGUAAUGUGUAUUAGUGUGUUUACCUGAUGAAGAGUGCCUUCUCAUGUUUUGCAUCUACACUGAGUUUAACAUUGUCCUUGGUAUUGGCUGUGGGGACGCUCUCUGUGAUGAUGUUGGUUCGGUCCUCCUCUUCCUCACUGUCUGACCCACUGGAGCUGCUGUCGGACGCCACCAGCGGAGCCUUCCUCGCCCCACACACACUCCACACACACGCUGAUGAGCCUUUAACUUACACAAGACACAUGAGCGGAUGUUAAGAUACCAUUUCAAGAGCAUUUAGAACAAAUGACAAUCAAAAGUACUGUAAAUACCUAAUAAAAAUAUUACUAUUACUACUAUUGUUAAAUAUAUGCAAGGUAAAUACUAAUAAUAACAACAAUAAUAAUAAUUAUUAUUA
ensembl:lncRNA